rnacentral:rRNA from 1 species
AGUGAACGCUGGCGGUAGGCCUAACACAUGCAAGUCGAACGGCAGCACAGUAAGAGCUUGCUCUUACGGGUGGCGAGUGGCGGACGGGUGAGGAAUACAUCGGAAUCUACUUUUUCGUGGGGGAUAACGUAGGGAAACUUACGCUAAUACCGCAUACGACCUACGGGUGAAAGCAGGGGAUCUUCGGACCUUGCGCGAUUGAAUGAGCCGAUGUCGGAUUAGCUAGUUGGCGGGGUAAAGGCCCACCAAGGCGACGAUCCGUAGCUGGUCUGAGAGGAUGAUCAGCCACAAUGGAACUUAGACACGGUCCAGACUCCUACGGGAGGCAGCAGGGGGGAAUAUUGGACAAUGGGCGCAAGCCUGAUCCAGCCAUACCGCGUGGGUGAAGAAGGCCUUCGGGUUGUAAAGCCCUUUUGUUGGGAAAGAAAAGCAGCAGGUUAAUACCCCGCUGUUCUGACGGUACCCAAAGAAUAAGCACCGGCUAACUUCGUG